GACGAACGCUGGCGGCGUGCUUAACACAUGCAAGUCGAACGGAAAGGCCCUGCUUUUGUGGGGUGCUCGAGUGGCGAACGGGUGCGUAACACGUGAGUAACCUGCCCUUCACUUUGGUAUAACUUCAGGUAACUGGGGCUAAUACCGUAUAGGAGCUCCUGCUGCAUGGUGGGCGUUGGAACGUUUCGGCGGGUGGGGAUGGACUCGCGGCUUAUCAGCUUGUUGGUGGGGUAGUGGCUUACCAAGGCUUUGACGGGUAGCCGGCAUGAGAGGGUGACCGGGCACAUUGGGACUGAGAUACGGACCAGACGGCUACGGGAGGCAGCAGUGGGGAGUAUGGCACAGUGGGAGGAAGCGUGAUGCAGAAACGCUGGGGGCGGGAUGACGGCCUUCGGGUUGUAAACCGCUGUAGCCUGUGACGAAGCGGGAGUGACGGUAAUGGGUAAAGAAGCACCGGCUAACUACGUG
rnacentral:rRNA from 1 species